CAAUAGCGUAUAUUUAAGUUGUUGCAGUUAAAAAGCUCGUAGUUGGAUUUCGGGUGGGACGCAGCGGUCUCGCAUUGCGUUUGUACUGCUGCAGCCCUCCUUCUUGCCGGGGGCGGCCUCUCGGACUUCACUGUCUGGGGGUCAGAAUCGGCGAUGUUACUUUGAGUAAAUUAGAGUGUUCAAAGCAAGCUUACGCUCUGGAUAUAAUAGCAUGGGAUAACACGACAGGACUCUGGCCUAUCGUGUUGGUCUAUAGGACCAGAGUAAUGAUUAAGAGGGACAGUCGGGGGCAUUCGUAUUCCGUUGUCAGAGGUGAAAUUCUUGGAUUUACGGAAGACGAACAUCUGCGAAAGCAUUUGCCAAGGAUGUUUUCAUUGA
rnacentral:rRNA from 1 species